rnacentral:rRNA from 1 species
AGCGUAGGCGGACUUUUAAGUGAGAUGUGAAAUACCCGGGCUCAACUUGGGUGCUGCAUUUCAAACUGGAAGUCUAGAGUGCAGGAGAGGAGAAUGGAAUUCCUAGUGUAGCGGUGAAAUGCGUAGAGAUUAGGAAGAACACCAGUGGCGAAGGCGAUUCUCUGGACUGUAACUGACGCUGAGGCUCGAAAGCGUGGGGGAGCAAACA